UACGUAGGGUGCAAGCGUUGUCCGGAAUUAUUGGGCGUAAAGAGCUCGUAGGCAGUUUGUCGCGUCUGCUGUGAAAAUCCAGGGCUUAACCCUGGACCUGCAGUGGGUACGGGCAGACUAGAGUGCGGUAGGGGAGAUCGGAAUUCCUGGUGUAGCGGUGAAAUGCGCAGAUAUCAGGAGGAACACCGGUGGCGAAGGCGGAUCUCUGGGCCGUAACUGACGCUGAGGAGCGAAAGCAUGGGGAGCGAACAGG
rnacentral:rRNA from 1 species